rnacentral:rRNA from 1 species
GGAGACGCUGGCGGCGUGGAUUAGGCAUGCAAGUCGGACGGUAGGGCUUUAUCGUAAGAUAGAGUUUGAGAGUGGCGAACGGGUGAGUAACACGUAGGAAUCUACCCUUAAGACGGGGACAACCCAGGGAAACUUGGGCUAAUACCGGAUGAGAGUGCGAGAGAUUGCAUUUAAAAGGAUGGCGAAAGUUGUCGCUUAGGGAUGAGCCUGCGGUCUAUUAGUUAGUUGGUGAGGUAAGAGCUCACCAAGGCGAUGAUAGAUAGGCGGCCUUAACGGGUGGUCGCCCACACUGGGAUUGAGAUACGGCCCAGACUCCUACGGGAGGCAGCAGUCGAGAAUAGUCUACAAUGGCCGGAAGGCUGAUAGUGCGACGCCGCGUGAACGAUGAAUCCCUUCGGGGUGUAAAGUUCUUUUAUAUGUGAGCAGUGCUUCUUAUAUUAACAGUAUGGGGAGAGAGAUAUUAGCAUAUGAAUAAGCAACGGCUAACUCCGUG